AUGGAACUUGGAGCUCAGCACCCCGCAGCCGCCCCAGGCCGCGGUCACCCCGCUACGGCUCCGCGGCACUUGGGCGUCCCCACGACCCGCGCCGUCCAGUUGCUCCCCAAGGACCCGCGUCUCCCUCCCCGGGCGCCGCGCCCCUGCCCCGCCUCUGGGUCCCCGCCUGGAGGGAGCCUCAGGGUGCGCGGGGCCCUGCGCACCUUCAGGGGGAGGAGGAGGGAGGGGGAGAGGGACAGGGAGGGGAGAGGGGCAGGGAGGGAGGGGGGAGAGGGAAGGAGAGAGGGGGAGAGGAGGAGAGGAGGGGGAGAGGGAGGGAGAGAGAGACAGGGAGGGAGGGAGGAGGAGGGGGGAGGGACAGGGAGGGACCUGGAGGGGGGGAGAGAGGGGGAGAGGGGGAGAGGGAGGGAGGGCGAGGGGGGAGAGGGACAGGGAGGGACCUGGAGAGGGAGGGAGGGGGAGAGAGGGAGAGAGGGGGAGGGAGGGGGAGGGGCCGGGCUGCCUGUCGCGCAGAUGCGGCUGGAGGCGCGUCCACACACUCGCGGCUCCCGCUGGCGCGCCGGGUCCGGCCACACCACAGGCGGGCGCACACACGCGCACACACGCGCACACACGCGCACAUGGACACACACAUGCACACACGCACAUGCACUGACACACGCGCACACGCAGCCCUCCCUGUCGGGCUCUGCCGCUCCGCCGGCCACAGGAGGCCGAGAGUCCCGUCGGCGUGGAGCCCGGACUGGGGGCCCCGCGCUGCCCGAGCCCCGCGCCCCGAGAGGCGCUUCUUCGGCGGCUUCGGGGGUCGGGGCCGGGGGUCGGGGUCCGCGGUCCGCAGCCCGGGCCGGCGCGGUCCGCGCGGUGCACCCACGGCCCCCGAGCCCGCGCCCGGCCCCAGGCGCUCUCCGGGGGGACGCGCGGGGCCUCGCCGCGCUCCCCGCGCCCCGCGCCCCGCGCCCCGCGCCCCGGGGUGGCGCCCGACCCCUGCGCUGCCCCUCCCGGCCGGGAGACCCGGAUCGCGCCCCGGGGCCGGCGCGUGUGUCCAGCAGCUGCGCCGCCGAGCGUCAGGGCCCCCGGAGUUUGCAAGUAUCCCGGGGACGCGGGGGCGCUCCGCUCGGUGCCCGGCGCCGCGGCGACCAGACCCCGGCACAGGACCCGCCUGCCCCCGGCCCCGGCCCCGGGCCCCCGAGCCCCGGCCCCCCGGCCCCGCCGCCGGGCGCAGACAGCAGCCGCACGCGCGCCGGAGCCCGCGGACCACCGGCCGCCCCCGCCCCGGGCUUCCCCGGAGCGCCCCGACGCCGCCCCCCGCCCGCUCCCCCGGCCGCCGCUCCCUCCGUGGCUCCGGGCUCCGGGGCGCAGCCGGGUCCCCGCAGCCGCAGCCGCAGCCCGGCCCGCCCGCCCGCAGCGCCGCGCACCAACUCCGCGCUCCGCGCCCCGCGCCCCGCGCCCGGCCCCGGGGACGCCGAGUCCUCCGGCCGCUCAGCAGCCGCGGGCGCGGGGCCGGGCGCGGGGAGAAGAAAGGAAGGACCCUUACCGGCGGCUCGCGGGGGCGCGCUGAGCAGGGUCGCGGCGAGGAGCACAAAAGCCAGCCCGGGGGCCCGGACGCGGCCGGCGCUCGUCUCCAUGCUUCAGCCACAGCUUCGGGGCCGAGGUCCGGGGCCGCGGCGGCGCUCACACUCAUGCACCCGGCCCCGCGCGCACACAUGCACACUCGCGCCGAGCCCCUCGGCCGCCGCCGCC
rnacentral:lncRNA from 1 species